AGAGCUACAGGCUUCAAAAGCAAAUUCUUCAAACUGUUCCUCAACCUCCUGGCUCUCUCCGAUCCCCCUCUCGCCCCUCCCUGGAACAAGGUGGUUAAACGGUGCGGUUGUUUUAGGGGGGCCCUUUUCCAGAGCAUCCGUCCCUGUUCAGAGAACUGGCUUUAAUGCGGAUCCCUUUACGGCCGGGGGAACGGCUUCUUCAUCAGAUUGAAGGAAAAAUUUCAACUUCUCAUACGCUAGCUUCAGGCAAAUCGUGCCAACGUCUCCCAGCCACCUGCGAUGCUCCUCUUGAACGGUAUGAAACAGAGACAUCUAAAGGACGACUGAGGUAGUGAGGCUGACAGGUCAGCUCUCCAACCAGUCAGUCUCUCCGACCCGGGCUUCACGCUGAAAGGGAAACGCAGCAGCGCUUCUCUUGGAUGAGGAGACUGCAAAAAGGAGGCAGGAAUCACUUAAAAUGGUGAAACUUCUUGUUUUAAAGCCUCUGGAGAGAAAAAGCGGGCUCAACCAGACUUCUGUAAGCCAUUGCCUCGGGGACUUCUUCCUCAGUGGCUUGACCAUGAAAUUCAUCCUUAGUGCCUCCUGUAUCAACAGUGCUCCAUGUGUGCCUGCAGAAUGAAUGACCCCCACCCCAUCCAGCAAGAGCAUUACUUCUAAUUAUUUCUUUUUCUUUCUUUUUUUUUGGUCAGCCUUGAGUAGGGGAAAGAGACCUGGGUUGAGAGUCAAAAACCUUGGGUUCUAAACUCAGCUGUGCCACUAAAUGGGGCAGCCAGAUGGAAUAGUGGAGAGACUUCUCAGGACUCACCUCAGAAUGAGUCAUCUUCCUGAAUUCAAAUCUAUCCCCAGACCCUUCCUAGCUGUGUGACUCUAGGCAAGUCAUUUAACCCUGUUUGCCUCAAUUCCCUCAUCUAUAAUGUGCUGGAGAAAAAAAUAACAAACCAUUCCAAUAAUUCUGCCAAGAAAGCUCUAAAUCGGGUCACAAAGAGUUGGACAUGACUGAAACUAUUAAUUAAUAUUUUUAAACCCUUACCUUCCGUCUUGGAGUCAAUACUGUGUAUUGCUCCAAGGCAGAAGAGUGGUAAGGGCUAGGCAAUGGGGGUCAAGUGACUUGCCCAGGGUCACACAGCCAGUUAGUGUCUGAGGCCAGAUUUGGACCUAGGACCUCCCAUCUCUAGGCCUGGCUCUCAAUCCACUGAGCUACCC
rnacentral:lncRNA from 1 species